rnacentral:rRNA from 1 species
UACGGGGGGGCAAGCGUUGUUCGGAAUUACUGGGCGUAAAGGGCUCGUAGGUGGCCAACUAAGUCAGACGUGAAAUCCCUCGGCUUAACCGGGGAACUGCGUCUGAUACUGGAUGGCUUGAGUUCGGGAGAGGGAUGCGGAAUUCCAGGUGUAGCGGUGAAAUGCGUAGAUAUCUGGAGGAACACCGGUGGCGAAGGCGGCAUCCUGGACCGACACUGACACUGAGGAGCGAAAGCCAGGGAGCAAACGGGG